AAUUCAGUUUGUUUCCCCAACAGCUGCACAGUCUGUCUAAACUCUGACAGGAACACAUGAGAGAAAGAAGCAGGACACUAAAACAGUGAAUUAGCUCAAGAUCACUAUGAGGAACUUAAAGAACAAGGCUGAACACUACUAUGAUGGAAUCUUAAAAAUGGAAUUCAUAAGAUGCUUUCUUCUUCAAAAAAAAAAACAAAAAAAAAGUGGUAAUGCCAGGCAAGGUUUUUCCUGAGGUAAAGGACUACAUGAACCGGAUUACAAUUACACUUGAAUGAAGCACAAAACAAACAUCAUUUCCAGUUCAAAAUCAACUGAAGGAUCAAGAAGGAUGUGUUUCAUCUUCACCAGUCGAGCACAGUUCUUCAUCAGAGUUGGUGCUUCAUCAUCAUCAUCAUCUCUGUGUUUCUGCUGUAUAUCUCAGGUGCUUUCUCUGAUCCUGUGAGGGUAAAAGUUGAGGGUUUUGUUGGAGACUCAGCUAUCUUGUCUUGUUCCAUCCCUGAAAGUGAGAUUCAAGACAAAAUAGAAAAAUUACACGUAAUCUGGAGAGACGAUAAAGGCAAGAAAGUGUGUGACAUCAUUGGAGGCAGCAUAGCUGAAGACCAAGAGCCAGAGUACAAGGUCAGAGUCGAAACGUUCCCAGAGGAGUAUAAGAAGGGCAACUUCUCCAUCAAACUCAGCAGUCUUCAAAAAAAUGAUGCAAGGAAGUUCCACUGUUACAUCACAAGGGACACAUUUCAGAAAGAGGUCAUCACAGAGCUUCAUGUCAGAGAUAAACCAGAAGGAAGAGGAAACCAUGGAGAACUAUCGUUGAUUGUGUUGUUGAUCAGUUUUCUUUUCACUCACAUUUUGCCGUUUAUCUGAACAAUAUUUUAUUCAGUUCUGUAAGUGUUGCACGGUUGAGUACAGAUCUGAUCAAUCAGCCAAAGUACAGUAUGGUCAUUGUGUGUAAAUUUCACUCUACAUUUCAGAAAAUAACAUGUUGAUCCUUGGUUUUUAAGUCAUUACAUUACAUUACAUUACCUACAUUAUUCCUUUCCAUUCAUUUUGUUCAUCUUAGUCAUUGCACAACUUGGCAAACCUUGUAUGCAUCAGUAUUUAUACUAAGGAUGUUACAGUUUCAGUCAUUGUCAUUUCUGUCAGUCGUGUGUGCAAUUAAAACUAUAUAACAUCAACCCUGUUAAUAAACUGAAAAAUAAAAUAUUUUACAUAUCUGA